UACGGAGGGAGCUAGCGUUGUUCGGAAUUACUGGGCGUAAAGCGCACGUAGGCGGCUUUGUAAGUUAGAGGUGAAAGCCUGGUGCUCAACACCAGAACUGCCUUUAAGACUGCAUCGCUUGAAUCAUGGAGAGGCGGGUGGAAUUCCGAGUGUAGAGGUGAAAUUCGUAGAUAUUCGGAAGAACACCAGUGGCGAAGGCGGCCCGCUGGACAUGUAUUGACGCUGAGGCACGAAAGCGUGGGGAGCAAACAGG
rnacentral:rRNA from 1 species